rnacentral:lncRNA from 1 species
AUUUUCCAAGCUGGCAAGUCAAGAUAUAUACACGUAUGUGUGUGCCAAGUCCAUAAAAAAAAAAAAAAAAAAAAAAAUCCAACUUGUGGACCUAACAUCACUACAAAGUGUAUUCAAUCCUUCAUUCUAAGCUGGCAAAAUACCACGAUCCAUGUUGGCAAACGGUCAUAAGCCGUAUUAUUUCUUUGAAAUAUCUCAUGCUGGAAAU